ensembl:lncRNA
GUAAAACAGGAAACGCAUAACAGUCACGCCAAAAACAACACACUGACAACACCGAAACGUAACAGUUCCCCCCCACCCAAAAAUCAAACAUUUAACACCAAGUGAAAAGUUUGAUCCAGACAGACGAAGCCGAUGAAGGCUGGAGCGGUCCCACUGACCCUCCAGCAGACGACGAAGGCUGGAGCGGUCCCACGGACCCUCCAGCGACGACAAAGGCUGGAGCGGUCCCUCGGACCCUCCAGCGGAGACGGACAGCUGAAGCGAAGGCAGACGAAGAUGAUGAAGGCUGGAGCGGUCCCUCGGACCCUCCAGCGAAGGCGGAUGAAGGCUGGAGCAGUCCCACGGACCCUCCAGCGAAGGCGGAUGAAGGCUGGAGCGGUCCCACGGACCCUCCAGCGACGACAAAGGCUGGGGCGGUCCCCGGACCCCCCAGCGAAGGCAAUCCCGGACGAGCCCCCAUAUGUUACACCCCGGCCUAGGCAACCGGAGUGCAACACGAAAAAAGUAAAAAUAAAGAAAAAAAAACACACACACAAAAAACCCCCACUAAAGCUCACCACCAAAAUCCCGAAACGAAAGUAUCGACAAAUCUAUUUACAACAAACUAUUUAUUUACAACAAAACACCAAACUAUUUACAACACGGGGGAGAUCGCGACCAUGACACACUGAAACACAGGGUUUAAAUACCUAGAGGGAGCAAUCAGGAAAAUGGACAACAAGAGGGAAACACAGCUGGGGCAACUCAGAACUGACGAGACAGGGAAACGUAAACUGAAAAGACUAAGAUAACACAGACUUUCAAAGUAAAACAGGAAACACAUAACAGUCACGCCAAAAACAACACACUGACAACACCGAAACGUAACAAUG